CUGGGCCCAGCUGAGAAUAAUAAAGGCUUUUCUGUUCCCAACUGAGAAUAAAGGAGAUUUUGAAUCAAAAUAUGUAAAUACAGGUAGAACCCUUCCUGUCUUUAAAAAAUGCAGCAAGACCUAUGCUUUUAAUACUUAUUUGUAUAAAGCUCUAGAAAGUAAUUAUAAAAGUUCAUUGUGAGCCAUGUAAUCCUUAAUUUUAAGUAGUUUCAAAGAAAGAAGAAAAUUGAGGUCUGUUAUUUUAUUCUGUUCAUUACGAAGAACAAUACAGAAGAGUCUUCAAAGUGCAGAUGAAGAUUUUGCUGUGUUUCCACUUACUACAUUUGCAAAUUAUAAAAUAAAUAUUCUGGUACAACUUCAUAAAUCUCUUUGAGAAAGCCAGAUGGAAAGCGGUGAUAUUUCAUAGAGGUCAGCUGGAACUCCUAUCGACCUCCAUGGAGCAACAUUUAUGCCAACACAGAGCAGUUGGUGCUUUGGAGAGCUAGAAAGCCUGUUUCUUGGCUUCCAGUGCUUUCCUCAGAACAGCUGGCCUAUUUUUAGUAAGUGGAGGUAUAGCCAAACCUGUUCUUCAAAGCACAGCCCUAAGAGCCUUUUCAGACACUUUCUAAGGUACCAGAACUUCAGACACUUUAGGAGUUCUGACCAUUAGUGAAUGGUUGCUUGCAGGUAUUGAGAGAUACAAGUUUGGCUUUAAUUUCCUAAAUCCCAUCAAUAUCAAACAUUUUUUAUGGCUUUGAACCUCAAUCUGGAAUAUGGCUACAGAAGAACUUGGUUGGAAUCACUUCUGCAUCAGGUUGCUUGGAUGUCUUUUUACAGUUUAAUGAGAUAAAAAGUGAGCAAAAUCCCUACCGGAAACAAAACGGUUGGUUGGUGGAAGAAAGCACAGACCUGUAAGCUGAACAAGGCUGGAAGGAAGAAGCGGGACAAAAAGACAGCUUAGAAGAGAUGGAAGGAGAUAGUGAUCCUGGAAAGAAGGAACUGAGCUGGGGUAGAAAGCUGAAAGUUGUACUUCUUUGGGGUUUGUGUGUAUGUGUAUGCAUAAUGUUCAGGGGAAAGGCAGAGAAGGAUGAAUGAUAAGACUGGAGUAUGUAUAUUGGGGAUGUUAAUUUUAUUUUCUCAUCUUUUACCGAGACAGAGAUCAUAUCAGAAAAUUGAUGAAGUUAAUUUGCAUGACACAGAAAGACAUUUAGGCAAAAGACUGAUAAAAUAGAAUAGGAAAACAUAGUAGUAUGGCUAUGGCUUCAUAGAAGACAAUAUGUGCUGUGUCUCAUUUGUCCCCUAUAACAUCCAUCUUGACCCAAUAGGGCAUAUUUCUCAGUCCAUGCAACCUAAAUAAGAGAAACCUAAAUCAAUCAGUUGAAACUUUGAAGAUCAACAUUAAGCAGUGUCACAUUAAUUUAAAUCAGUUUUCAGAGUAAAAAUUGGUUUUAAAAGAUAUCAAUCACAGAACUUGGCUGAAGAAGAAGGUUCUUUGGUAUUCUUGAUCUAAGGUGAAGUCCUCACCUGGUAGUGACAGAGGUGUGAGUCUCAACGUUUUAUACUUUCUUCAAGCAAACAGGAUAUUUUCCCAGGAUUCUGCAACCCAGGUUGGGUGAUGUCAUGAAAAAAUUAACAUGUUCUGAACUCCUCAUUCAUCAAAAUAAAUGUUCUGGCUGAGUCUGAGUGCUGAUAUAUUUUAUUGCAAAGAUUCCAGAUAAGGCUUUGAAAUGUAUUUCCAAGCAAAUUCCUCCUGACAGGUUUUAGGUUGAGGUCUUCUCAGAGCUCUCUGCAAACAUUUCUCCAGGUGUAAAGGCCUAUACAUAGAGCAGAACAUCUGUUUGCAUGAGAUUUCAGUGUUGUGUGCUACUGUGGCAGUCUAAGGUGCUAAGGAGAUGAUAGAAGGAUUUCAGAUCUAUAAUGGUGCAAGAACAAGAAAUUAGUUUCUUCGGACAUUGGAUGAAGGUUUCAAGUGGGACUGUAAAUCCCAAACUGGGAAUCCCUUAUAUCCUGAAAAGAGGCUAAUGUUUAAAAGACUGGGAACUGGGCACAGUAAGACCAGAAAAUUAUUGCGUGCACUCAAGAAUCAUUUCUAAAAUAACAAAGAGCUUACAUUUCUUUGCGAAUGCAAGAAAAGUCAACCACCACUGAAAUGCAAAACAAUGAAAGUUAUUACAGGACCAAAACUUCAUGCA